AACGAACGCUGGCGGCGUGUCUAACACAUGCAAGUCGAACGGAUUGAAGGGGCUUGCUCCUUCAGUUAGUGGCGCACGGGUGAGUAACGCGUAGAUAAUCUGCCUGAUGAUCUGGGAUAACAGUUCGAAAGGACUGCUAAUACCGGAUAAGCCAACGUGGUCUUUGGACCGUGCGGGAAAAGGGGGGGACCUUCGGGCCUUUUGUCAUCAGAUGAGUCUGCGUACCAUUAGCUAGUUGGUAGGGUAAUGGCCUACCAAGGCUACGAUGGUUAGCUGUAUUGAGAGAAUGAUCAGCCACACUGGAACUGAGACACGGUCCAGACUCCUACGGGAGGCAGCAGUGGGGAAUUUUGCGCAAUGGGCGAAAGCCUGACGCAGCAACGCCGCGUGAGUGAUGAAGGCUUUCGGGUCGUAAAGCUCUGUCGAGGGGAAAGAAGUGUAUUGUGGUUAAUACCCGCGAUACUUGACGGUACCCCUAAAGGAAGCACCGGCUAACUCCGUGCCAGCAGCCGCCGUAAAAC
rnacentral:rRNA from 1 species